UUUAUGCUUUUGCAGGACAUCUAUAGCAAGGCAAUAUACAGUAAUUGCACAACAGAUACGAAGAGAACUGGAGAUACAUUAAAGUCUUCUUAGUAACUGCGCUUUUCUGAAGUUGGAUACAUGUUUUGGUAGACACUGCAAUGUGCACUUCCCGUAAGUGAGAAGGGCAAGGAGGAGCGAACUGAACAGGAAGCUGAAUGUUUUAUGGGCUAGCAAGCAGCAGUGCUGAAGAAAGGUAACAGAUGCCAUGACAGUAGCAGUUACACCAGCAGCCAAACCCCUCAACAGCAAGGACACUGCCUUCACAGAAAGCUGUUUAUCUACCUUACAUCUCAUAAAAAAGUUAUCUCAUCAGUAGAAAGACCUGAUUUUAAUGGAAACACACGUAGAAAUACUUAAAUAAAACAUGAAUGAAGGGAUAAUAAACCUGUAAUCAAUCCUUGGCUAUUUCUGUACAGAGAAUUUAUUUGAUGAAGCAUUUCCCUACAGAUGAAAGAUACUUCUGUAUUCUCCUCAUUUGAAGGUAAGUCCAAACAUUUUAACAUUCUCAUUUACAAUGUCUUAUUUUCAGGGCAUCUGUGCUUAUAUGGUCUCAGCAGCUUUUGUUGUCUUCUUUUUUCAAAAUUAUGGGAGAAAGUUCUAAUGAAAACAGACAUUACAAUCACUGUAAUCUAAAACUACAAA